GUGAUAUAAUGCAGUGCAUAUAGUGAUGUUGUUAUCAUCAUCAUGCAUGACUUGCACAGCAACUCAGGAGCAAUAAAACUAAACCAGACUGGAGGCAUGCUGAAACAUUUGAGAACAGGUAGUAGUACUAUAAAUAUAUGCACUGUGGAUUAGGAUCACAGCAAAGAAGCAUGGAGUCUCAGAGAAGUAUGGCUCCAGGUCCUGCAUGGAUCCCAGUCAGCUAAAGCAAGCUUUCUGGUUUAGUGACCCUGUUCCAAUAUUGUUCCUGGUAUAUACAGCUUUCUACUUUAGUGACCCUGUUCCAUUGUUUCUGGACCUGGUACAGGAUCACUUCAGUUAUAAGUAACGCAUGUGCAAGUUCUGUUCAAGCUACAUUUUGCUCGCUUUUAUUAGACAACGAAGCUUUAACACCGAAAGCUGCCACUAUUAGAAGUACUGACUUGUUGUGUGGAGGCUACCCAUGCUGUAAACGCAGUGCUAGAGCAUCCAGGUUUAAGCGGACAUCCCCGUCAUCUGUACUGAGCAAUAACCUAAAGCAUUUGGCAAUACAGUCACAGAGAUUGACGUAUCCAAGGCAACUGUGUUCGCUUCUUCUUGAUGAUGUGGCCAAGUGCAUUGAAGAGCAAUCUGACAGAAAGUCAUUCGUGCUAUUUGGAAUUGAAGUAAACACUUGUAACAGAUACAUGUACACAUUGAAUGCACAUAUUUGACCUCAAACAAAUUAUAAAGUAAUAGAUAUAGCAAAUAAUUAGUCACAAACAAUACGAGGAUUCUCGUGCUAUAAUUAUUGUGUUUUAUAUCACGACUACUUAGCAAAUCAUGCCUUAAUUGAGGCUAUGUGACCGAC